rnacentral:rRNA from 1 species
GACGAACGCUGGCGGCGUGCUUAACACAUGCAAGUCGAACGGAAAGGCCCUGCUUGCAGGGUACUCGAGUGGCGAACGGGUGAGUAACACGUGGGUUAUCUGCCCUGCACUUCGGGAUAAGCCUGGGAAACUGGGUCUAAUACCGGAUAGGAGCCAUUUUUAGUGUGAUGGUUGGAAAGUUUUUUCGGUGUAGGAUGAGCUCGCGGCCUAUCAACUUGUUGGUGGGGUAAUGGCCUACCAAGGCGGCGACGGGUAGCCGGCCUGAGAGGGUGGACAGCCACAUUGGGACUGAGAUACGGCCCAGACUCCUACGGGAGGCAGCAGUGGGGAAUAUUGCACAAUGGGCGCAAGCCUGAUGCAGCGACGCCGCGUGGGGGAUGACGGCCUUCGGGUUGUAAACUCCUUUCGCUAGGGACGAAGCUUUUUGUGACGGUACCUAGAUAAGAAGCACCGGCUAACUACGUG